AGCUAAUCAGGUCGCCAUUCUUGGAGGGUCGGUGGGAUUUUUUUCAGGGCUGAUGUCUUCCACGCAGUAGUUGAGGACAACAUCAACACCAGAAAUGGCGAUGGUUUGGCUGAUGAUCAUAGUCAUGAGAACCGAAGUGAUAGCUCUGAUGCUCAUCCAGGAGUUGAAGAGAGUGAUUCUUCUGAAGAUGAGGUUGCUCCUCGAAAUACAAUUGGAGAUGUGCCCUUGGUGUGGUAUCGGGAUGAAAAACAUAUUGGUUAUGA